rnacentral:rRNA from 1 species
GACGAACGCUGGCGGCGUGCCUAACACAUGCAAGUCGAGCGAACAGACGAGGAGUUUGCUCCUAUGACGUUAGCGGCGGACGGGAGAGUAACAUGUGGACAAACUACCUAUAAGACUGGGAUAAUUACGGGAAACCGGAGCUAAUACCGGAUAAUAUAUUGAACCGCAUGGUUCAAUCGUGAAAGUCGGUUUUGCUGUCACUAAUAGCUGGUUCGGGGCCGCUUGAGCUAGUUGGUAAGGUAAAGGCUUAUCAAGGCGACGAGGCGUAUCCGACCGGAGGGAGUGGUCGGCCACAUGGUAGCUGAGACGCAUACCAGACUCCUGCGAGAGGAAGCAGUAGGGAAUCUUCCGCAAUGGGGGAGAGCCUGACGGAAGAACACGGCGUCAGUUAUGAAGGUGUUCGGAUCGGAAAGCUCUGUUUUUAGGGGGGAACAAAUGUGUAAGUAGCUGUGCAGGUAUUGACGGUACCGGAUCAAGAAGCCACGGCUAACUACGUG